rnacentral:tRNA from 1 species
GGAUUGUGGCUCAGUGAUAGAGUGCUGGCCUCGCAUGCAUGAGGCACUGGGUUCGAUCCUCAACACCA